rnacentral:rRNA from 1 species
CCGAUGGCGACCGGCGCACGGGUGAGUAACACGUAUCCAACCUGCCGAUAACUCCGGGAUAGCCUUUCGAAAGAAAGAUUAAUACCGGAUGGCAUACGAAUAUCGCAUGAUAUUUUUAUUAAAGAAUUUCGGUUAUCGAUGGGGAUGCGUUCCAUUAGUUUGUUGGCGGGGUAACGGCCCACCAAGACUACGAUGGAUAGGGGUUCUGAGAGGAAGGUCCCCCACAUUGGAACUGAGACACGGUCCAA